GCCACACACACACACACACACACACACAAAAAACAAAACACAAAUCUCACAUUUGACCAAAUGUGCCUGCAGCUGUCAAGCACUGCAUUGAAUGCUUUCUCCCUCUCCUUUUCUUUCUCCCACUUGCGCGCGCCUGCACGUCCCCCACGCAGGCGCGCGCGCGCGCGCGCACACACACGGAGACCGACGCUCGCCAAUGCACUGCACAGGAGCCCCUGACAGUGCCCGUGCAUGCUGCCUGGCGUCUCUGUCGCUCCGCUGGAUGUUUGCGCAGAGGACACCUGCCUCCGCCGCUGACUGCACCCACACCCGCUGCAACACCCACCUCGUUUCCACCUCCUAACUUUUGCAACGUGUGACUGUGUUUUUUUGUUGUUGUUGCUGUCGCGUGCACCUGUUCCAAGAUUAUGUUUCUAUCGGAUGAAAAAACGCUGUAGAGCCCGGGCGUUUGACUUCCAACUUGGCACUUGGAUGGAUAUGUGUGACAGGUCUGGAAAGUUGCCCUGCGUAAGGGAGCAUGGGCGCAAACUUUAAGAGUUUUUUUUGUAUAUAUAUCACAGGGAGACAGUUCGAUUAGAAUGAAGGCAGGUGAGUCGCCCCUCGCGUGAGAGGCUCAACUCCGGGGCUCUCCAGGUACUGGGAACGGAAAGGACGACACGGACGAAGUCGUGAUCUGUGCGGCGGAUUGCGCCACGGAGGACGGAGGGAACGGACCGAUGAGACAACAUGGGUCCAAUGCUGUGUGAUGGACGACUGACACACCUCCUCUUUCCUCUCCUGCUCCUCUUGCGGGCUCCCCUGCUGUUCAGCUUUAAUGAGCGCACCUGUCCCAAUAGCUGCCGAUGUGAGGGGAAGACGGUCCAUUGUGAUUCAGCUGGCUUCUUAGAUGUCCCAGAAAACAUCUCCGUAGGCUGCCAAGGCCUCUCCCUGCGCUACAAUGAACUACACACCCUGCUGCCAUAUCAAUUUGCUCACCUCAGCCAGCUUCUUUGGAUAUACUUGGACCAUAAUCAGAUUUCAGCUGUCGACAGUCGAGCAUUCCAGGGGGUCCGCAGGCUUAAAGAGCUGAUACUAAGCUCCAACAGGAUUACAUCCCUGCACAAUUCAACAUUCCAUGGAAUUCCCAAUCUUCGCAGUCUGGACUUGUCCUACAACAAAUUGGAAAUCCUGCAGCCUGGUCAAUUUCAUGGCCUACGGAAAUUGCAAAACCUACACCUACGCUCAAAUGGUCUCUCCAACAUCCCAAUUCGAGCAUUCCUGGAGUGCCGAAGUUUGGAGUUUUUGGAUUUGGGCUAUAAUCGAAUCAAGGCUCUUACCCGUACCACCUUUUUGGGGCUACAGAAGCUGAUGGAGUUGCAUCUGGAGCACAACCAGUUUUCACGGAUCAACUUUUUUCUGUUUCCACGCUUAGCCAACCUGAGAUCACUCUAUCUGCAGUGGAACCGCAUUAAGGUGGUCAACCAGGGUCUGCCGUGGACUUGGUAUACACUGCAGAAACUGGAUCUGUCUGGAAAUGAAAUCCAGACCCUGGACCCGGCUGUGUUCCACUGCUUGCCCAACCUUCAAGUCCUCAACCUGGAAUCCAACAAACUGUCCAACGUGUCUCAAGAGGCGGUGUCAGCAUGGAUCUCAUUGACCUCCAUCAGCCUUGCUGGGAACAUGUGGGAUUGUGGAACUGGCAUAUGCCCACUUGUGGCGUGGUUGAGGAAUUUUCGGGGAAGUAAAGACACCACUAUGAUAUGCAGCAGUCCAAAGUAUCUCCAGGGCGAAAAAAUUAUGGAAGCCACGAGGAACCAUGGUAUUUGUGAGGAAACAGAUUACGUUCUGACUGAAACACCCUCACCAAUGUCAGAGCUCAUUUCCGAAGCUACCGGGGAACCAACCUUUGCUCCUACUAGUGGCUCUCCACCUAUGCCACCAGCCAGCACCUUUGGUCCCGUCCCACCAUUCAGACCUCGACCGAUUCCUCAUCCUACCUUUCCAGGGCAGAUGAGCAAAAACCCAAGAGACUCAGUUGCUAGCACUCGACCCACCUUCAUACCACCCCCAGAGUUGGAACACAUGACUCUGCACAAAGUGGUGGUAGGCAGCGUGGCACUCUUCUUCACCAUGUCCCUAAUCUUGACAAUUAUCUAUGUGUUGUGGCGGCGCUAUCCAGGUGCAACCAGGUUGCUGCAGCAGCGAUCCAUGGUGGGGCGGAGGCGUCGCAAAAAGAGUCCGGAGCCAGAGCAGAACCUGAGCUCCCAGCUCCAAGAGUAUUAUAUGAGCUACAACCCUGCUGCCACGCCAGAGGCAUUGGAGGUGCUAGGAAAUGGCACUGGUUCCUGCACAUGCACAAUAUCUGGCUCCAGGGAGUGUGAGGUAUGAUUCAUCGCAUCAGCCUAAAAAUAGAAACUCAAAAUCAAAAUACAAAGGCUCAACAGAGAGAACGAGUACACGUGCCCCCGCCCCCUACCCGGUGCCUGGCUGGGAGAUGUGCCUACCAUCCAUUAACCACUAAAAGGAACUGCUUUGGAUUGUGCAGCAAACGAGCAUACAGAGGAGAGAGAGAGAGAGAAAGAGAGAGAGAGAGAGAGAGAGAGACAUAUACAGUGAACCCAUUAGGAUUCAACUUCCACAUUUCACAUCCUAGGAUACAUUAAAAAUGGUCCUCCACGCUAACAAGGGCAACCAUUGACCACGACAAAGAGGAGCUAAUAGGGUCUUUUUAUUUCUUCUUAAGAUUUUAUAAUAUCUUUUUUUUUGGCCUGUGGUCUUUAGUCAUCGGCUUUGCUGCAUUCCAUCAUGCUUCAUCACGACCCGUUCGUCAUACUGCCCCAGACGGUUGUGGAAACGCAGUCCCAUGUUGAAUGGCAGAGCCUUGGAAGUGCACCAAUGGAUGGUUUGCACCAACGUGGGAGCUUAUUGUAUAGACUUUAAUAGCUUAUUGUCUCCAUGAGGACAACGUGGCAUUGUUUUUAACACAGGCGAGAGACUGUACACAUUCAAGAGGCUUUAAAAAAA